rnacentral:rRNA from 1 species
CUACGGGGUGCUGCAGUAGGGAAUAUUGGACAAUGGGCGAAAGCCUGAUCCAGCAACACCGCGUGCACGAUGACGGCCUUCGGGUUGUAAAGUGCUUUUAGAGGAGAUGAGAAAGGACAGUAUCCUCUGAGUAAGCCUCGGCGAACUACGUGCCAGCAGCCGCGGUAAAACGUAGGAGGCAAGCGUUAUCCGGAUUUAUUGGGCGUAAGGCGCGUGCAGGCGGUCUAGCAAGUUGGAUGUGAAAGCUCCCGGCUCAACUGGGAGAGGUCGUUCAAUACUGUUAGACUAGAGAAUAGGAGAGGGAGGUGGAAUUCCGGGUGUAGUGGUGAAAUGCGUAGAUAUCCGGAGGAACACCAGUGGCGAAAGCGGCCUCCUGGACUAUUUCUGACGCUAAGACGCGAAAGCUAGGGUAGCAAACGGGAUUAGAUACCCCGGUAGUC